rnacentral:rRNA from 1 species
AGAGUUUGAUCCUGGCUCAGGAUGAACGCUGGCGGCGUGCUUAACACAUGCAAGUCGAACGAAGCACCUUAUUCUGAUUUCUUCGGAAUGAAAAAUUCGGUGACUGAGUGGCGGACGGGUGAGUAACGCGUGGGUAACCUGCCUCAUACAGGGGGAUAACAGUUAGAAAUGACUGCUAAUACCGCAUAAGACCACAGCACCGCAUGGUGCAGGGGUAAAAACUCCGGUGGUAUGAGAUGGACCCGCGUUUGAUUAGGUAGUUGGUGGGGUAACGGCCUACCAAGCCGACGAUCAGUAGCCGACCUGAGAGGGUGACCGGCCACAUUGGGACUGAGACACGGCCCAAACUCCUACGGGAGGCAGCAGUGGGGAAUAUUGCACAAUGGGGGAAACCCUGAUGCAGCGACGCCGCGUGAGCGAUGAAGUAUUUCGGUAUGUAAAGCUCUAUCAGCAGGGAAGAAAAUGACGGUACCUGACUAAGAAGCACCGGCUAAAUACGUGCCAGCAGCCGCGGUAAUACGUAUGGUGCAAGCGUUAUCCGGAUUUACUGGGUGUAAAGGGAGCGUAGACGGAGUGGCAAGUCUGAUGUGAAAACCCGGGGCUCAACCCCGGGACUGCAUUGGAAACUGUCAAUCUAGAGUACCGGAGAGGUAAGCGGAAUUCCUAGUGUAGCGGUGAAAUGCGUAGAUAUUAGGAGGAACACCAGUGGCGAAGGCGGCUUACUGGACGGUAACUGACGUUGAGGCUCGAAAGCGUGGGGAGCAAACAGGAUUAGAUACCCUGGUAGUCCACGCCGUAAAC